AAUGCACGUCAUCAGACACCACAAAAAGGGUGUUAGUUCAUUCUAGACAGCCCGACGGUGCCAUGGAAGUCGGAAUCCCGCUAAGGAGUGUGUAACAACUCACGGGCGAAUGAACUAGCCCUGAAAAAUGGAUGGCGCUCAAGCGUGCUACCCAUACCUGCCGUCGGGGUAGAAACGAUGCCCCGACGAGUAGGCAGGCGUGGAGGUCCGUGACGAAGCCUUGGGAGUGAUCCCGGGUCGAACGGCCUCUAGUGCAGAUCUUGGUGGUAGUAGCAAAUACUCAAAUGAGAACUUUGAGGACUGAAGUGGGGAAAGGUUCCAUGUGAACAGCAGUUGGACAUGGGUUAGUCGAUCCUAAGGUAUAGGGAAGUUCCGUUUGAAAGGCGCCCUCGUGCGCCGUGUACCGAAAGGGAAGCCGGUUAAUAUUCCGGCACCUGGAUGUGGAUUCUCCACGGCAACGUAACUGAACGCGGAGACAUCGGCGGGGGUCCUGGGAAGAGUUCUCUUUUCUUCUUGACAGCCUAUCACCCUGAAAUCGGUUUGUCCGGAGCUAGGGUUCCACGGCUGGCAGAGCCCUGCACCUUUGCAGGGUCCGGUGCGCCCCCGACGAUCCUUGAAAAUCCGCGGGAAGGAAUAGUUUUCACGCCAGGUCGUACUCAUAACCGCAGCAGGUCUCCAAGGUGAACAGCCUCUAGUUGAUAGAACAAUGUAGAUAAGGGAAGUCGGCAAAAUGGAUCCGUAACUUCGGGAUAAGGAUUGGCUCUAAGGG
rnacentral:ncRNA from 1 species